CGGAGGAAAAGAAACCAACAGGGAUUGCCUUAGUAGCGGCGAGUGAAGCGGCAAAAGCUCAAAUUUGAAAUCUGGCUCUUUCAGAGUCCGAGUUGUAAUUUGAAGAAGGUAUCUUUGGGUCUGGCUCUUGUCUAUGUUUCUUGGAACAGAACGUCACAGAGGGUGAGAAUCCCGUGCGAUGAGAUGAUCCAGGCCUAUGUAAAGUUCCUUCGAAGAGUCGAGUUGUUUGGGAAUGCAGCUCUAAGUGGGUGGUAAAUUCCAUCUAAAGCUAAAUAUUGGCGAGAGACCGAUAGCGAACAAGUACAGUGAUGGAAAGAUGAAAAGAACUUUGAAAAGAGAGUGAAAAAGUACGUGAAAUUGUUGAAAGGGAAGGGCUUGAGAUCAGACUUGGUAUUUUGUAUGUUACUUCUUCGGGGGUGGCCUCUACAGUUUAUCGGGCCAGCAUCAGUUUGGGCGGUAGGAGAAUUGCGUUGGAAUGUGGCACGGCUUCGGUUGUGUGUUAUAGCCUUCGUCGAUACUGCCAGCCUAGACUGAGGACUGCGGUUUAUACCUAGGAUGUUGGCAUAAUGAUCUUAAGUCGCCCGUCUUGAA
rnacentral:rRNA from 1 species